rnacentral:rRNA from 1 species
UACGUAGGUGGCAAGCGUUGUCCGGAUUUACUGGGUGUAAAGGGUGCGCAGGCGGACCUUUAAGUAGAAAGUGAAAGGUUGGAGCUCAACUCCGACACUGCUCUCUAUACUGGGGGUCUUGAGUCUUGGAGGGGGAAGCGGAACGACACGUGUAGCGGUGAAAUGCGUUGAUAUGUGUCGGAACACCAAUGGCGAAAGCAGCUUCCUGGACAAGUACUGACGCUCAGGCACGAAAGCCAAGGUAGCAAACAGG